AUUGAACGCUGGCGGCAUGCCUUACACAUGCAAGUCGAACGGCAGCACGGACUUCGGUCUGGUGGCGAGUGGCGAACGGGUGAGUAACAUAUCGGAACGUGCCCUGGAGUGGGGGAUAACUAGUCGAAAGAUUAGCUAAUACCGCAUACGAUCUACGGAUGAAAGUGGGGGAUCGCAAGACCUCAUGCUCGUGGAGCGGCCGAUAUCUGAUUAGCUAGUUGGUGGGGUAAAAGCCUACCAAGGCAUCGAUCAGUAGCUGGUCUGAGAGGACGGCAAGCCACACUGGGACUGAGAAACGGCCCAGACUCCUACGGGAGGCAGCAGUGGGGAAUUUUGGACAAUGGGGGCAACCCUGAUCCAGCAAUGCCGCGUGAGUGAAGAAGGCCUUCGGGUUGUAAAGCUCUUUUGUCAGGGAAGAAACGGUCCGGGCUAAUAUCCUGGGCUAAUGACGGUACCUGAAGAAUAAGCACCGGCUAACUACGUGCCAGCCGCCGCGGUAACAC
rnacentral:rRNA from 1 species